rnacentral:rRNA from 1 species
UGGGGAAUAUUGCACAAUGGGCGCAAGCCUGAUGCAGCCAUGCCGCGUGUGUGAAGAAGGCCUUCGGGUUGUAAAGCACUUUCAGCGGGGAGGAAGGCGAUAAGGUUAAUAACCUUGUCGAUUGACGUUACCCGCAGAAGAAGCACCGGCUAACUCCGUGCCAGCAGCCGCGGUAAUACGGAGGGUGCAAGCGUUAAUCGGAAUUACUGGGCGUAAAGCGCACGCAGGCGGUCUGUCAAGUCGGAUGUGAAAUCCCCGGGCUCAACCUGGGAACUGCAUUCGAAACUGGCAGGCUAGAGUCUUGUAGAGGGGGGUAGAAUUCCAGGUGUAGCGGUGAAAUGCGUAGAGAUCUGGAGGAAUACCGGUGGCGAAGGCGGCCCCUUGGACAAAGACUGACGCUCAGGUGCGAAAGCGUGGGGAGCAAACAGG